GGGCCCAUAGCUCAGUCGGUUAGAGCGCACCCCUGAUAAGGGUGAGGUCACAAGUUCGAAUCUUGUUGGGCCCACCA
rnacentral:tRNA from 1 species